rnacentral:rRNA from 1 species
GAUGAACGCUGGCGGCGUGCCUAAUACAUGCAAGUCGAGCGAAUGGAUUAAGAGCUUGCUCUUAUGAAGUUAGCGGCGGACGGGUGAGUAACACGUGGGUAACCUGCCCAUAAGACUGGGAUAACUCCGGGAAACCGGGGCUAAUACCGGAGAACAUUUUGAACCGCAUGGUUCGAAAUUGAAAGGCGGCUUCGGCUGUCACUUAUGGCUGGACCCGCGUCGCAUUAGCUAGUUGGUGAGGUAACGGCUCACCAAGGCAACGAUGCGUAGCCGACCUGAGAGGGUGAUCGGCCACACUGGGACUGAGACACGGCCCAGACUCCUACGGGAGGCAGCAGUAGGGAAUCUUCCGCAAUGGACGAAAGUCUGACGGAGCAACGCCGCGUGAGUGAUGAAGGCUUUCGGGUCGUAAAACUCUGUUGUUAGGGAAGAACAAGUGCUAGUUGAAUAAGCUGACACCUUGACGGUACCUAACCAGAAAGCCACGGCUAACUACGUGCCAGCCGCCGCCGUAA